rnacentral:rRNA from 1 species
CCUACGGGAGGCAGCAGUGGGGAAUAUUGGACAAUGGGGGCAACCCUGAUCCAGCCAUGCCGCGUGUGUGAAGAAGGCCCUCGGGUUGUAAAGCACUUUCAGUGAGGAAGAACGCCUGGUGGUUAAUACCCAUCAGGAAAGACAUCACUCACAGAAGAAGCACCGGCUAACUCCGUGCCAGCAGCCGCGGUAAUACGGAGGGUGCGAGCGUUAAUCGGAAUUACUGGGCGUAAAGCGCGCGUAGGUGGCUUGAUAAGCCGGUUGUGAAAGCCCCGGGCUCAACCUGGGAACGGCAUCCGGAACUGUCAAGCUAGAGUGCAGGAGAGGAAGGUAGAAUUCCCGGUGUAGCGGUGAAAUGCGUAGAGAUCGGGAGGAAUACCAGUGGCGAAGGCGGCCUUCUGGACUGACACUGACACUGAGGUGCGAAAGCGUGGGUAGCAAACAGGAUUUGAUACCCCAGUAGUC